ACAAGUCAGCCAACUGAAAAUUGUACGUGUUACUAAUAAGCUCCUGCUAUUUUAUUUUGAGUGGAUAAUUUGAUGCUGUUGGCAACAUGGGUUUAAUUAUUACUAUAUUUUUAUUAUUAAUUCUUAAAGGAUUAUUAUACUUGGGUUUGGUUUGGAGUAGCUCAAUAAAAGAUUUAAUGGGUUUUCCAUUUUGAUGCCCCUGGUGAAAAAGAAAGGAGGAACGAAAAGAAAUGCCUCUGGAAUUUUAUGCAGAGUGCAGUAUCCUGUAGACCUACUAGUAGUUUUUUGUUGAGAUUCAGAAUGUUUAAGUUGUUUGUACUUUUUUUGAGCUUGCAACGUUAUAUGCAAAUUUUUCACUUUUUAUUUUCGUCAUCAUUACUUUAUUGAUCCCCAUUUUCACUGUUCUCGUUUUUUUCACUGUUCUCGUUUUUUUCACUAUUCUGCAAUCUUGGUAGAAUGAUAAUGUCAUUAUUUUAUCAUUGAUAUGCUGGAUAAGCAUGUAGGUGUAUGUGGACUUUUUUUUCUUGGUCGCUUAUGGGUGUUCUUAUAUUGGAUUUAAGACAAUUGUUAAACAAGAAAGGUCAACCAUUAAAUAGAUUCGUAUUGGUAAAAUUAGUCAAUAUCAUGAAGUAAUGUCUUCUUGAAAAGUGAGAGUUUCAAAACCAUGUUUAAAUUGUAAAUUUUUAAUGGUUGUAUAUUUUCCUUGCUAAGUUUUGAAUUUACAGAUGCAUUAACCCAAAUUUGAUAUAGGAGCUUCUCCAUCUCAUGCUAUCACCUGUUAUUCUGUGGUAUUGAACCCCCUUUGUCAUUGAUAUCUGGCUUAAUCCUUAGUCAAGAUGUUAAAAUUGUUUCCCGACAAUCUCUGCAGCAUCACUUUCUUGGUUUUGCAGUCUUUCCAAAAAUUUCCCUGUUAGCAGACUUGAUGUUAUCUGUGUCUUAUAUCUCUUCUAUUUUCUUUUUCUACGAAAACUUUUUCAUUUCAUUGCCAGAUUCAACUGUAUCACUGAAACUCUUGACCUUUUAGUGCGUACAAACUUAAUUUCUCUUUAUUCCAAAUUCUCUCUCAAACCAUGCUAAAGUAAGUUCUAUCGUUGUCUCUCUCAUUAUAUUAGUAGUAGACUUCUGAUGUUAGUUUUUUGUUCUUUGCUUGUAUAAAUUAUUUAUCAUAUAUAUUUCAACUAGUUUGUUUGUCCAGUUUAGUUGUUUUCUUUUCAUGGAAUUCUUUUGUAUGACUUCCCAAAUGGUACAUAUCUCCAUCACUCUAUAGUCAAACAUUUGCUCUUGGUUGUUUUAAAAACAAGUUUACAUUUAUUGUUUUCCAAGAAUACCAACUCCUCUAUAAGCGUUUGCAGUAUUUUACUCUCCUUCUUAAUUAAAUCUGACGUAGCAUGAAGUUCAAAUAGAAACACACUCUAUACACAAAAGUGAAAAAAUAGAGAAAAUUCUC
rnacentral:misc_RNA from 1 species